UCUUACUAUUUGCGUAUAUAGCACACAUUCAUAAUAUAGCAUAUGUACUAUAUACAAUAUGAAGACUACAAGGAUUUCUACUCUCACAGUUGUAUUUUUAUUAGCUUUCUUCAUUAUAGCAUCAAGUACGACGUCAGAUAUGAGUCAAGAAUCAGAAGGAGGAGGAGUACUCAAAGCAAAAUUUUCGUGUAAAACAAAUGCAGAAUGUCAACCCAAAUGCCCUGUUGGAUUAGUUGGAAUAUGUAUGACCGGGAGGUGUUGGUGUUAUUUCUUUCCGCCACAUGCCGAUAAUAUUCCAAAUCUUUAAUACUCCAAAUUGAAAACUAAGUAUUGAAAUAUUGUAAAUUAUCUUGUAUGGGUGAGAAUAUGAAAAAAAUAAAAAGGUCGUUAAGGAAAUGUUA